rnacentral:rRNA from 1 species
GAUGAACGCUGGCGGCGUGCCUAAUACAUGCAAGUCGAGCGAACGGACGAGAAGCUUGCUUUUCUGAUGUUAGCGGCGGACGGGUGAGUAACACGUGGAUAACCUACCUAUAAGACUGGGAUAACUUCGGGAAACCGGAGCUAAUACCGGAUAAUAUUUUGAACCGCAUGGUUCAAAAGUGAAAGACGGUCUUGCUGUCACUUAUAGAUGGAUCCGCGCUGCAUUAGCUAGUUGGUAAGGUAACGGCUUACCAAGGCAACGAUGCAUAGCCGACCUGAGGGGGUGAUCGGCCACACUGGAACUGAGACACGGUCCAGACUCCUACGGGAGGCAGCAGUAGGGAAUCUUCCGCAAUGGGCGAAAGCCUGACGGAGCAACGCCGCGUGAGUGAUGAAGGUCUUCGGAUCGUAAAACUCUGUUAUUAGGGAGGAACAUAUGUGUAAGUAACUGUGCACAUCUUGACGGUACCUAAUCAGAAAGCCACGGCUAACUACGUG